rnacentral:tRNA from 1 species
UCCAGGGUAGCCUAGUGGACAUGGCAUCUGCCCGGUAAGCGGAACAUUGUGGGCUCGAUUCCCAUCUCUGGAC